ACUUCCAAUCCCCAUGCACCAGCAUUUCCCUGCAGCAGCCUCAUUAAGGGCUGGUUUCAAAGCUCCUUCACAGGAGAGGAUAAUGAUGCCAAGGAAGAGCAGAUUUCUUGGGGGAAAGGGCAGGAGAGCGCUGUGAGCCUAAUGUGGAAACAGGCUCCCACUCCUGUCUCCACCACAAGAAGGCCAGAGAAGAGAACUGGGUCCGGGAAAGAGGGUCAUGGCUCUUCUUCUCUGUCCCAGCUGGCGCUCAGGGUGAGACAAGGAAGUUGAUGCUGACUGUCCAUCCUUGGAAGUGUGUCCAGAACCAUGGGAGCCAUAUGGCCACCAGCUGGAGAAUAAAGCCAACGUGGGAGAUGAUGGAGCUGAUGAAAAUACCCAGGACUAGAACAAAGCUGAAAGUACCAUGCCCAGACAUCACUGGAAGACACACAGGUCUUUAUUGGCCUGAGUGAGGCAAGGUUCCAGUUGUUUGUAUCCCAAAGCCUUCGAACUCAUAGCCAAGUGUGCCCUGGAGUUUACUCACUUCGCUCAUGAAACAUUAUGUUAGACACUGAGUUCCAGUACACAAGCUUGUCCAAUUUCUCAGUUCUAGGAAGCAGGCUUAUCUGAUCUCCCAGUUCAGGGCAGAUUAGAACUAGCAAGUGAGAGGUAGAUGAAGUGAGGGCAGCUGGUCAGAGAGGGAAGAGACACAGGUGGAAACCAGCACACAAGAUGUGGCACUGGAGGGCCAUCGAGUGUCCAGACAAACAGGUGCUCCCCUUCUGCCGCCCCAGUGUGUGCUGGAUACAGGCCAGUGACUGAGCCAUCACGACGGCCACGUGUCGUCAAAGGAAGUUUGCUUUCUUUCUGUUUUAGGAGGGGGAUGAGGCUGAAAAAUGUUUAAUAACACUACUUUGUAAACAAGGAAAAGGUUAAAUGAUUAAAAGGGUACACUUAUCUGAAAAGUCACACAGAGAACAAACUCACUAAACUCAACGAAUGAGUAUAAUAUACCCACAGAGAUGCAUGCAAAUAGAACCUCUAGAAAGUCAUCCAGAGAAAAGGAGGGAAAGAGCAGCAGGCAGUAGUCUGCUUGCUACGGAGAGCACUUCAUUUCAGGGUCCGCACGAGAAGCCCUGGAGAAGCCAAGCUGGCGACUGAGUACAAGGCUUUGCUCUUCUGCCAGUGGCUUGAAUAGACUCUGGUGGCUCAGAGAGCUGCCUAAGCUAUUCUCUCAGAAGCCCACUAGUGGGAAACAAAUAAGCUGCUUGACUUUUCUUGGUAGGAGGGGGUUGAACACUCCUAAUUCAAUGUAAAUAAUUCUCAAAGCCAAGCACUUGCAGCAAAAAUGACUGGAAUGGUCACAGACACUAAAACUGUGCCGUGCAAAACAGGUCCUGGGUCUCUGUGUGCACAAACACAGAGCCCAGCAGCUGAUGUAGUUACUCCGGGAGAAGCCACUCCAACCCAGUCAUUCCCAGCUACAUGCCGGGUGCCAGGGAGCUGCUACACUCCACUGGCACCAGAGUCUAAAGUUUGGGGUGGCUUGUUUACCAAGGAUGUGGGCAUGAAGGAUGCAGUGCUGAGGUGUGAGACGAACAUGGGGGUUCUCUGCAAUCCUCCAGUCACCUUUCAAUCUUGCAGAGCCUACACCCAACAGAGCACUGCUCUGCUUUAACACAGAAACUUACAAAUAUGCAAAUCAAGGUAAAUAAAAAGGAAAAAUUGGGUACCUUUUCUGAUUACUCACCCAUUUGUGUGUGUGUUACACACAAUUUUUAAAUGAACAGUAGGUGAUGUAUGAACCUCAGUGUUAUUUAAGGAAAACCCAUAAACAAUUAAAUAAAUUUACCAAGAAUGAAACGUAAGACUUUAGAUUAGUGGUUUCGAGUGGUCUUUUUUUACUUCAUGCAAGAAUAUUACCACCUACACUGAGACUGUGCUACUAGUAAAUUAUGAUUAUUAUCAUCAACCCAUUAUUAGUCAACAAUUUGCUGGCAUGGUCCUAAAUAAUCUACAUUCAUUAUCUUAUUUUAUUAUCAUAAUAGCAUGAGUCUAAGUAUUAAACCAGUUUUACUGAUGGAGAAAAUGAGGCCUAGAGCUGUGAUUUGCUGGGGGAGCCAGAACAAGGAAAAGCUUGGGGUCCCAGAAAACACAGAUUCAUCCCAGAGGCAAAGGCUUAAUCACACCAGAGUUACAACAAUAGAUUCAUCUGCUGAUGGACAUACUGGAUGUGCUACUUCUAAAGUUGAGCAAUCGUGAAUUGUGCUGCUAUAAACGACAAAUCGGGGAGAGAGAGAGAUGGAGAAGUCAGGCAUGGCGGGGGUCUUUGGACCUUGGCCUCCAGGCAGACUGCUCAGAGAAGGGAAGAGGACAGACUACAAGGCAGAGCCUCUGAGCAGACGCAAGAAAGGCCCUGGGAGACUGGAGCCAUGCCUAACACCAGCCCCUGCCCACAUUCCCCGUCGGAUGGGGCUUGUGCUGGGGUCUGCCUGGAUCGCCUGCUCAUCCACGAGGCAGGGAAGAAGCAGCACGCGGCUCCUCUCCCACUCAGGACGUGGGCUGUACACUGCACUUCUUUGGGCUUCAGCUUCUGCAUCGGUAAAGCACACCGAGGGACAUUCAUACUUCACCAGAUUCUUGAGUGAUUUAAAUAACCCCCUACAAACAAGCGCUUAGAACAGAGCCUGCAAAUACCAAACCCUCACUAUUUAUCUGUUGUUUUCACCAUUUAAUAAACUAAUCCCCGACAUAGGUACAGUGGUUAGAAUCGUGUCACAGAGGAGAAAACUGAUUUGAGAGACAAUAAUGGUUUACCUAAUGGCGUCCAGAAUGCAAGUGCCUGGGAUUCCUGAACUGACUGUCCAACUCGAGGGCUAUUAUUACCUCUUUGUUUUUAGAUAAGAAGGCAAUGGUGUGUGUCUUGACAUUCUGUAGAGUAAUUCUACAGUUUACCUAAAAGAAUAAGGAAGAAAUGUUUGUUUAAAAAAAUAGAAAAAUAAUGGGUGAUAAGUCAUACAUGAUUGCAUCAAAAAGGUAAACAUUUCUAUGUGAAAAUAGAAGAUAAUUAGGGUGAAGGCAGUGUUCUUUAUCUUGAUUGUGGGGUUACACAACUAUAAUUGUAGCCAAAAUUUUUUAAAAUUUACAUUUAAAAGGGGAGAAUUUUGUGUGUGAAAAUUAUACCACCAUAAAAACUUGAGAAAAAGGUAAUUAUAAUUUAAAAAGGAAGAAAUCAACUAGGCAGAAAUGUUGCCUAUAACAUAUUUGCUAGAGCACCAACCAAAGCCAAACAAUCAUAACCUAUGGCCCAGCAGUUCUAGCCCUGAGUAUACACCCAGAAAGGAGCACAUAUCUGCCAGGUGAAAUGUAAAGAGAUGUUCCUAGUUGCUUUAUCUGUAAUAGCUCCAGAUUACAAACAACCCAAAUUUCCAUCAACAAUAGAAUGGUUAAGAAAUCGUGGUAUUCAGACAAUAGAAAACUACAGAGAAAUGAAAAAGAAUGAACUCAAUAUAUAACAUAGACGAAUUUUCCAAACCUAAUGUUUCAUUUCAGAAGCUUAACCCAACCAAACACACACAGGAUGGCUCCAUGUGUAAGAAGUCUGGAACACGCUAAGCUGGUCCACAAUGACAGAAAAGUCAUGACUUGGCAGUGGCCACUGCUAACUGGCAGGGGACAUGGGAAGCCUUAGGGUGCUGGGACUGUCCUAUAUCUCCACCUGGGAGUUAGUUAUAUGGGUGUGUACAUAUGUAAAUAUUGGUUGAGCUAUGUAUUUAAGAACAUUCACUUUUCUCUAUGUUAAGUUACACAUAAAAAAGACCUAAUCUGAAUUUUUUAAAAUGGGCAAAGGACUUGAGAUCAGGAAAGAAGCAAUCUUAACUGACUUAACUAUUAUGGACACAUAGUUACACAUGCCAAAUCACUAAUCACACAAAUGCAAAUGAAAAGUUUUUCUGAAAUUAUAAUGCCUCUAUUUGAGGGACAUGAAGUUAUGCGCAAGGCCCUGAGAUGAAGAUUUUUGAGGCAAGUGAUUCUCAAGGAACUUCUGAAACAAGAACCCAGAAAGCAGAAAAGGAAGAGGAAGAAGAUGCCAAGAAAGGGCACAGUUUCAGGAGAUCUUGCCUGCUCAGCACUGUCCCGUGGGAACUGUGAGAUGCAUUGACUCCACAUACAGUGGACUCUCGAGUUAGACUGGACUAACAUAUGAACGACUUGGGUUAUGACCGGAAUUUUAGUUUUAACUUAUAACCAAAGUCUUGAGUUACCAUCCAAAUGCCUGCC
ensembl:lncRNA